GGUUUCAUAGUGUAAUGGUUAGCACGUGAGAUUCUGAUUCUCGAGAUGAGGGUUCAAUUCCCUCUGAGACCU
rnacentral:tRNA from 1 species